UCAAUCUGGAAAACAUUUAUGCGCUUAUGCAGAAAAAGAAAGUUAACUUGUGGCGAUUGAGCAAAACUUUAUUACACUGAAGUUAUUUUAAAGUUAUUUCUUUGUAUUGCAAAAUAAAUUCUAAUAUCCAUGAAUUAUGGAAAUGAUUUUAGUGUAAAAUAACACUUAUAUUUUACUUUACGUAUCCAUUGCAAAUGGAAAUUUAAAUACUUUGAAAUAUAAACUGGAAUAUAUGUUACAAAUUCUUUAUGAAAAUAUGUGAAAGAAUGAAUAGGAUUUAUUUUUUGGAUUGGGGAAGAAUUCUGUGAUUUGUAUAACCAAUUAUGCAUUAAUCAACAUGUUUGUAUUUUAUAUCACAAAAGAUAUUUAAUUUAUCUUUAAAGUUUGGCGCCAAAUUUGGUGAUACCCGUCCCUACACAGAUUUAGCCACACAGCGUCAUUAAGAACUGGAUAUUUUACUGCAAAGACUGCAUUAGAUUCGAAUUGGGCAAUGGAAAUCAACAAAGUCUGUCCAUUGUCCUGUGCAGAAGAGCUCCAUAUUGAAUCAUGAUACCUGUUUAAGAAAGGUGCCCUGCUUUUCCUUUCUGGAAAAUACCCAAAGGACGUGGGAAAAUGCUUUAGUAUUGCAAAACUCAAUCUUGUUAAUUGCUGCUGAAAUUUUAAAAAAAUCCACUGCCAUAUAAACCCUCUAUGAUGUUAUUUUUGUUGUCAUGAAUUCAUCAUUCCACGCAUUGUUCCUAAGAUGCCAUCUUUCAUCUGGGCGAUAUUCAUCUUUCAUCUGGGCGACAUGUUACUCUGGGACCUAGAGUAACAACUGUUGGAAGUUGAUUGCUUCGUUCAAUUUCAAUGUAUAUACCAUAAAACAACAGACAUAUGUUUAAGCCCGACAAGAAAGCACGAGUUUACUUCAUAUUUUACCCGAUCAAAUGUUGUUUUAAAGACUGAAGAGGGCAAAUUGUGUCCCCUGUUAAAUGCCAUCAUAUUUCUUAUUACCAAAUAUUUGUUUGUAUGUGUCCUUUUUAAGAUGAUUUACUUUUAAAUUUAUGCUACUUUUUUAAAAAUAUAAUGUUCUAUUUUGAAUCCUGUGCUGUUUGUGUCUCAUUUAUUCUAUGACCAAUAUAAGUUUAACUUUUAAAUGGAUGCUAAUUUUUAAAUGUAAUGUUAUUUAUCAAAUUCUGUGUUGCAUGUGCCAUAUUUAUUCUAUCACAGAUAUAAUAUUAAACGGUUGGAACGCUGUGAAUGUUUUUGUACACUAUGUCAGUAUUCAAAUAUUCCGGUGAGAAUUUCUGCUAAAAUGAUGCUUAAACAGUAGCUGUUUAGAAAAUUAAAAUCAAAUAUAUUCUUAAAAUCUGGAUCCCAAAGCUCAAACGGAUGGUGCACUAAAAUUUAAUCUAAAUAAUGCGCAUUUCAAAAAAUAUUUCAAUUUACUUUGUAUUAAUUUUUAUUUCUGAAUAAAUUUCUAACAAUG